GGAUAAAAAGAGGUUCAAAAAGGAAGAAAGAAAAAAAAAAGAUAAGAAAAGAAUUUAAAAAAAGAAAACAAAUAAGAAAAAUAUAAAAAAGAAAAAAUAUAUAUAUUGGAUAAACUAGUUAAAAAACGUUAAAAAAGAGAAAGGUAAAAGUUAAAAAAAAAUUACCAAAAGGCGAGAAAAAAACAAAAAAUGAAAAAGAAAAAAAUUAAAUUAACUGCAAGACUAAAAAAAUCACAGGGAAAAAGCCAUGAGUUCCGUGCUUUGCUUUCUCCUCCUCUGGAAUUCUGCUGCUCUCCUUGGUAUUGAAACCGCACUCCUUGGUAGGUGAACUUGGUCUCGUCUGGAUUUCUUGUUGAUCUUCUGGGGGAGGGGCCUGUUGUAGUGAUUCUCAAGUGUCUGCCCCAGGCGGAAUUGCACCGCCCUUACCCGGGGCCGGGCUGAGUAAUCCGCUCAGGUUUGCUUUCAGGAGCUUUUGUUCCCUGAGCGCUUUCCGUAGAGUUCCGGAGGACGGGAAUACAAAUGGCUGCGUCCUGGUCUCCGGCCAAGAGGAGCCGAGAGCCCAGGGCCCCACUCCUCAGUGCGCCCUCAGAGAACAGCGCCCAGUUACUCCCGUCUGCCUGACCUCCGGCCGCGCUCCGAGCUCACCGAGCCUGCGACCGGUUCAAGCUACCCGCCUCUGGCAACCACCUAUCCAUUAAGUAUUUGAAGGAAUAACGAGGAUGACUUAGAGCCUCAGAAGAGGAAGUAUAUCCAGAGGUCAUCUGCUUGCCUCUCCUGGGAUAUCUGGACCCCGUCUUCAAUACUCUCCCCAUUCUGCCUCCCCCAGUACUCAGGUGGGCACCUACCCUUCUGGGAACUUGCAGGGGUGGAGCUUGUUUGCAAUACUUCUGUUCCAGGCACAGAAUUGGGAAGAGAUGAGCCGUGCCGUUAGAAGCUCUCAACACCCUGUUUGUAGCAUCAGUUCUCAGAAUCUGGAUCUCACAGAUGAGAAAUGACAUGGUAAUGGGAAUCAUGGAUCAGCUCAUGUAAUGGGUUCCUUUAGUCAAAACUAAAAUCCAUUCCAUGGAGACAUGUAAAAACAAUCCACAUCCUAAGGAAAGGGUUUCUUCUGAAUCCUCAGCAAAACUGGGAUUAGAAAGGGACCCCUGAGUUUAGGGUCCACCCCUUAGAGGUUUCAUUCCAGACAAGAACUGUGGACUGAGCUCCCCAUGGCCCUUGUUAACUGAACUAACUCCAGGAUGAGCACCACAGAUACAAGCUAAGUGACUGCUAACCCCCAUCUGCUGACCUUGACCAUCCUCAAAAGAAACAAAUGGACUAAGUGGCUAAAUUCCUUACAUCUUUUGCAGAUCUUCCCUCUGUAGAAAAAUAGAAGCAAGAAGCUUUAAGGCAAGAUAUGCUCCUUAAAAAACAAACAACAAAAAACCCACUUUGCUAGUUUGCAUAUACACUGAUGUAUCUAUCAUUUAAUUAAAGCAAUUUGACAUUCUCA